rnacentral:tRNA from 1 species
GCCGAUGUAGCUCAGCAGGCAGAGCAUCUCACUUGUAAUGAGAGGGUCACCCGUUCGAUUCGGGUCAUCGGCUCCA